GUGGGGAAUCUUGCGCAAUGGGCGAAAGCCUGACGCAGCCAUGCCGCGUGAAUGAUGAAGGUCUUAGGAUUGUAAAAUUCUUUCACCGGGGACGAUAAUGACGGUACCCGGAGAAGAAGCUCCGGCUAACUUCGUGCCAGCAGCCGCGGUAAUACGAAUGGGGCUAGCGUUGCUCGGAAUUACUGGGCGUAAAGGGCGCGUAGGCGGACAGCUUAGUCAGAGGUGAAAGCCCAGGGCUCAACCUUGGAGUUGCCUUUGAUACUGGCUGUCUUGAGUACGGGAGAGGUGAGUGGAACUCCGAGUGUAGAGGUGAAAUUCGUAGAUAUUCGGAAGAACACCAGUGGCGAAGGCGACUCACUGGCCCGUUACUGACGCUGAGGCGCGAAAGCGUGGGGAGCAAACAGGAUUAGAUACCCGAGUAGUCC
rnacentral:rRNA from 1 species